CCCCGGCGAGGGGAGUGAAAAAGAACCUGAAACCGUGUACGUACAAGCAGUGGGAGCACCUUCGGGUGUGACUGCGUACCUUUUGUAUAAUGGGUCAGCGACUUAUAUUCUGUAGCAAGGUUAACCGUAUAGGGGAGCCGCAGGGAAACCGAGUCUUAACUGGGCGUUAAGUUGCAGGGUAUAGACCCGAAACCCGGUGAUCUAGCCAUGGGCAGGUUGAAGGUUGGGUAACACUAACUGGAGGACCGAACCGACUAAUGUUGAAAAAUUAGCGGAUGACUUGUGGCUGGGGGUGAAAGGCCAAUCAAACCGGGAGAUAGCUGGUUCUCCCCGAAAGCUAUUUAGGUAGCGCCUCGUGAACUCAUCUUCGGGGGUAGAGCACUGUUUCGGCUAGGGGGUCAUCCCGACUUACCAACCCGAUGCAAACUACGAAUACCGAAGAAUGUUAUCACGGGAGACACACGGCGGGUGCUAACGUCCGUCGUGAAGAGGGAAACAACCCAGACCGCCAGCUAAGGUCCCAAAGUCAUGGUUAAGUGGGAAACGAUGUGGGAAGGCACAGACAGCCAGGAUGUUGGCUUAGAAGCAGCCAUCAUUUAAAGAAAGCGUAAUAGCUCACUGGUCGAGUCGGCCUGCGCGGAAGAUGUAACGGGGCUAAACCAUGCACCGAAGCUGCGGCAGCGACACUAUGUGUUGUUGGGUAGGGGAGCGUUCUGUAAGCCUGCGAAGGUGUGCUGUGAGGCAUGCUGGAGGUAUCAGAAGUGCGAAUGCUGACAUAAGUAACGAUAAAGCGGGUGAAAAGCCCGCUCGCCGGAAGACCAAGGGUUCCUGUCCAACGUUAAUCGGGGCAGGGUGAGUCGACCCCUAAGGCGAGGCCGAAAGGCGUAGUCGAUGGGAAACAGGUUAAUAUUCCUGUACUUGGUGUUACUGCGAAGGGGGGACGGAGAAGGCUAUGUUAGCCGGGCGACGGUUGUC
rnacentral:rRNA from 1 species